rfam:Schistosoma haematobium scaffold1018_2, whole genome shotgun sequence.
AUUCAGCUGACGAAACCUAAACAGGCCGGAACGCGCGUCCUGGAU